CCAGUCGCCGGCGACUCUUCUCGAGCAGCGGACGCCGCCAUGACAGUUUUGUCCUUGACAAGUCACAGCGUUACCUGAUGAGUCAAGAGGUUCUGUACCUGAUGUACCUGAUCAAGAGUACCUGA